GAUGAACGCUGGCGGCGUGCCUAAUACAUGCAAGUCGAGCGAACGGACGAGAAGCUUGCUUCUCUGAUGUUAGCGGCGGACGGGUGAGUAACACGUGGAUAACCUACCUAUAAGACUGGGAUAACUUCGGGAAACCGGAGCUAAUACCGGAUGAUAUUUUGAACCGCAUGGUUCAAAAGUGAAAGACGGUCUUGCUGUCACUUAAAGAUGGAUCGCGCUGCAUUAGCUAGUUGGUAAGGUAACGGCUUACCAAGGCAACGAUGCAUAGCCGACCUGAGAGGGUGAUCGGCCACACUGGAACUGAGACACGGUCCAGACUCCUACGGGAGGCAGCAGUAGGGAAUCUUCCGCAAUGGGCGAAAGCCUGACGGAGCAACGCCGCGUGAGUGAUGAAGGUCUUCGGAUCGUAAAACUCUGUUAUUAGGGAAGAACAUAUGUGUAAGUAACUGUGCACAUCUUGACGGUACCUAAUCAGAAAGCCACGGCUAACUACGUG
rnacentral:rRNA from 1 species